rnacentral:rRNA from 1 species
AUGUACCAUACGAAUAAGGACCGGCUAAUUCCGUGCCAGCAGCCGCGGUAAUACGGAAGGUCCAGGCGUUAUCCGGAUUUAUUGGGUUUAAAGGGAGCGUAGGCUGUUUGUUAAGCGUGUUGUGAAAUGUAAGAGCUCAACUUUUAGAUUGCAGCGCGAACUGGCAGACUUGAGUGCGCACAACGUAGGCGGAAUUCAUGGUGUAGCGGUGAAAUGCUUAGAUAUCAUGACGAACUCCGAUUGCGAAGGCAGCUUACGGGAGCGCAACUGACGCUAAAGCUCGAAGGUGCGGGUAUCGAACAGGAUUAGAUACCCNGGUAGUCCGCACA